CGUUGAAACACUAGUUCUUGUACGAUCACUAAAGUUAAGCAACGUUAAGCCUGGUGAGUAGCUAGAUGGGUGGCCUCUUGCGAAUUCCAGGCGCUGUAA